rnacentral:rRNA from 1 species
UACGGAGGGUGCGAGCGUUGCUCGGAAUCAUUGGGCGUAAAGCGUACGCAGGCGGCUCGAUAAGUCGGGUGUGAAAGCCCAGGGCUCAACCCUGGAAAUGCGCCCGAAACUGUCGAGCUUGAGUGCGGGAGAGGGAAGCGGAAUUCCUGGUGUAGAGGUGAAAUUCGUAGAUAUCAGGAGGAACACCGGUGGCGAAAGCGGCUUCCUGGCCCGAUACUGACGCUCAUGUACGAAAGCGUGGGGAGCAAACAGG